GACGUAGGGCGCGAGCGUUGUCCGGAUUUAUUGGGCGUAAAGAGCUCGUAGGCGGCUUGUUGCGUCGGCUGUGAAAUCCCGUGGCUUAACUGCGGGCUUGCAGCUGAUACGGGCGGGCUGGAGUUCGGUAGGGGAGACUGGAAUUCCUGGUGUAGCGGUGAAAUGCGCAGAGAUCGGGAGGAACACCCGUAGCGAAGGCGGCACUCUGGGCCGGAACUGACGCUGAGGAGCGAAAGCGUGGGUAGCAAACAGG
rnacentral:rRNA from 1 species